rnacentral:rRNA from 1 species
UAAUACGGAGGGUGCAAGCGUUAUCCGGAAUUAUUGGGCGUAAAGCGUCCGCAGGCGGUUUGUUAAGUCAGAUAUUAAAUCUCGGGGCCCAACUCCGAGGCUGUAUCUGAAACUGGCUAACUAGAGUCUUUCAGGGGUGCGUGGAAUUCUGUGUGUAGGGGUAAAAUCCGUAGAUACACAGAGGAACACCAAAAGCGAAGGCAGCGCACUGGGAAAGUACUGACGCUCAUGGACGAAAGCGUGGGGAGCGAACGGG